CAGACAUGGGCAGGACUGACAGGAUGAUAGCUCUUUCUAGAUUCCAUGGGUAGUAAUUCAUGGAUGUUCUUGGUGGAACAAUAUUUCUCACUAAUUAUGGCAGCCAUCAAGACUCUGAUGCAUUAAUUUGUAUGCAAUUCCUGAGCAGGUGGCAUCUCCAACAUCUUAGAAGGAAGUGGCAUUGAGCCAUCUAAGAUAGAGCAAAAACAGGUCUCUGAUGCCCUUAUAG
rnacentral:ncRNA from 1 species